rnacentral:rRNA from 1 species
AGAGUUUGAUCAUGGCUCAGAUGAACGUUGGCGGCGUGGAUUAGGCAUGCGAGUCGUGCGAGAACCGUAGCAAUACGGGGACAGCGGCGAAAGGGAGAGGAACACGUGGAUACCUACCCUCAGGUUCAGGAUAGCUAUGGGAAACUAUAGGUAAUACUGAAUAAUAUCUCCGGAUCAAAGGUGUGAUUCCGCCGGAGGAGGGGUCCGCGUCCUAUUAGCUAGUUGGUGAGGUAAUGGCUCACCAAGGCGAAGAUGGGUACGGGAUGUGAGAACAUGAUCCCGCUCAUUGGGACUGAGACACUGCCCAGACACCUACGGGUGGCUGCAGUCGAGAAUCUUCGGCAAUGGGGGAAACCCUGACCGAGCGACGCCGCGUGUGAGAUGAAGGCCUUCGGGUUGUAAAUCACUGUCGUAGAGGAGGAAGUGUAGGUGGGUUCUCCCACUUAUUUGACCUAUUCUAGGAGGAAGGACGGGCUAAGUUCGUG